AAAACGACUCUCGGCAACGG
rnacentral:rRNA from 1 species